rnacentral:rRNA from 1 species
GUGGGGAAUAUUGGACAAUGGGCGAAAGCCUGAUCCAGCCAUGCCGCGUGUGUGAAGAAGGUCUUCGGAUUGUAAAGCACUUUAAGUUGGGAGGAAGGGCAGUAAGUUAAUACCUUGCUGUUUUGACGUUACCGACAGAAUAAGCACCGGCUAACUUCGUGCCAGCAGCCGCGGUAAUACGAAGGGUGCAAGCGUUAAUCGGAAUUACUGGGCGUAAAGCGCGCGUAGGUGGUUUUGUAAGUUGGAGGUGAAAUCCCCGGGCUCAACCUGGGAACUGCCUCCAAAACUGCAUGACUAGAGUACGGUAGAGGGUAGUGGAAUUUCCUGUGUAGCGGUGAAAUGCGUAGAUAUAGGAAGGAACACCAGUGGCGAAGGCGACCACCUGGACUGAUACUGACACUGAGGUGCGAAAGCGUAGGGAGCAAACAGGAUUAGAAACCCUUGUAGUCC